GAGAAAAGGUGGGAAUAAUCCUUCUCUCCCUUCCUUAUCCUCUCCCCACGCCACUCUCCCUUUCAUCUUCCCACCGCCGCCCCUCUCCCUGGCAUCUUCCCACCGUCGCUCCUCUCCCUAGCAUCUUCCCACCGCCGCACGCCCUCUCUUGGGUGCUGCAGCUCGCCCCCCCCCUCUGCUCACCAUCUCCUCCCUCGUUCCCAUGGCGCCCUCCCCUUCUUGGUGGCUGACGCCCCUCCCUCCAUGGAGCUCGCCUCUGCCAUGACCGCCCUCUGCCCCCUUCCUUGCUGUUCUUAUUGCAGCCCCUCUCCAUGCCAAGCUCGCCCUCCUUCUGUGCCCAGCCCUAGCUCGCCCCAGCCCCUCUCCCUGGCUGCCCUUGCUCUGUUUUCCCCCAGCCCUAGCCGAGCUCGCCCCUGCCCUAAGUUCUCAAGGCAGCCCCUCUGUUUUUCCAUGGUCGGCACCCUCCCCAUCUUUUGUAGAUUGGAAGAAAGGAUUCUUGUGAGUGUGAGAAGAAGCAAAUCCCAGCAUAACGCAUGCUAGGUGUUCGACGAAAUGUUCGAAUUGGGAUUGUCGUUGAUAUUGUGGAUCUGAGUCGCGCUUUGUAUUGUUCCCUUUACUUUCAAAAAGUGCCUUUCUUGAACGGUCAAUUGAAGAAAAUUCUGACCAAGAAGAAUGCAUCAUCAAACUAAAUGACAUUCCUGGGGGUGCCAAGUCAUUUGAGCUAGUUGCAAGGUUCUGCUAUGGUGUGAAAAUAAAGAUUUCACCUGCAAAUGCUGUCUACCUACGGUGUGCCUCAAAGCAUCUAGAAAUGACUGAAGAAGUAGCUGAGGAAAACCUGAUUUUGUGAAUAUAUAAUUGUGAUGCUUUUGUGAAUAUAUAAUUGUGGUGCUUUUGUGUUUAUGUGAUGGAUCUAUGACUGUGGUAUACUGAUUAACUGUGUAUGUCUUUAUGAUUUGUGUAUAAAAAUAUGUGAUUUGUGGUGCUUAA